GACGAACGCUGGCGGCGUGCUUAACACAUGCAAGUCGAACGGAAAGGCCCUGCUUGCAGGGUACUCGAGUGGCGAACGGGUGAGUAACACGUGGGUGAUCUGCCCUGCACUUCGGGAUAAGCUUGGGAAACUGGGUCUAAUACCGGAUAGGAGCCAUCUUUAGUGUGGUGGUUGGAAAGUAUUUUCGGUGUAGGAUGAGCUCGCGGCCUAUCAGCUUGUUGGUGGGGUAAUGGCCUACCAAGGCGGCGACGGGUAGCCGGCCUGAGAGGGUGUACGGCCACAGUGGGACUGAGAUACGGCCCAGACUCCUACGGGAGGCAGCAGUGGGGAAUAUUGCACAAGGGGCGCAAGCCUGAUGCAGCGACGCCGCGUGGGGGAUGAAGGCCUUCGGGUUGUAAACUCCUUUCGCUAGGGACGAAGCUUUUUGUGACGGUACCUAGAGAAGAAGCACCGGCUAACUACGUG
rnacentral:rRNA from 1 species